GGAUGUGAGGGCGAUCUGGCCGUGACAUCUGCCAACCCAUUGUUCGCCAGGGUUGAUUCAGCUGAUCUGGCCGGCUACACGCGUGUCCCCUUCCUCCCUCACUGUUCCCUGUGCAUCCCUCCCAAAGCUGCGUGCUUGGUAGAAGAGGAUGACCUUCCCCAGCAGAGGAGGACCGUUGUUUGGUCAAGCGUAUACGAGUAGCUGCACUCCCCUGCUAGAACCUCCAAAAACAAGCUCUCAAGAAAUAUGGAAAAAGGAAAAUACUGGAGGAGUUUGGAGAGAGAGGGGCCUCUUUCUUCUGUGGAGGUUGGGGUUGCUU
rnacentral:snRNA from 1 species